CACCCUUUUAGCCUCACGUGAUGCUUCCUUCAAGAAAAAAAAAUACAGUUUCACGGGAUGUAUCUCCCUAAAAAAACCUCUGGCGGACUAAUUCCCCCCUGGAUCGUUCACAUCCGAGGAACCCAGAUCAAACAACAAAUCGUGGUGGAUGAUACGGUGGAGAAGGUCGUACGUACAUCGAAGGAAGUUUGUUUCACAUCAUCUAGCCUCCACUGUUGGUGAAGCUGCAAAGUCCAGGAAGCUGCAGGGUCAAGGAACUAUGGUGACAGAUUGAAUGCACGUAAGGAACAAGGCUGAGGCACACUUCUUUUUUGAAUUUUUAUGUUCUCAAUCCUUCGAUUGCAGACUUGGUCUCUAAUAAGCAAGUAAAUCCUAUGAUUUUUAUUUUUGGGAUUUUGGAGAUGUGCAUCCUUUGGUUUCA